GACGAACGCUGGCGGCGUGCUUAACACAUGCAAGUCGAGCGGAAAGGCCUUUCGGGGUACUCGAGCGGCGAACGGGUGAGUAACACGUGAGUAACCUGCCCCAGACUUUGGGAUAACCCUCGGAAACGGGGGCUAAUACCGGAUACGACACUUCAUCGCAUGGUGUGAGUGUGGAAAGUUUUUCGGUUUGGGAUGGCUCGCGGCCUAUCNGCUUGUUGGUGGGGUGAUGGCCUACCAAGGCGACGACGGGAGCCGGCCUGAGAGGGCGACCGGCCACACUGGGACUGAGACACGGGCCCACGACUCCUACGGGAGGGCAGCAGGUGGGGAAUAUUGCACAAUGGGGCGGAAGCCUGAUGCAGCGACGCCGCGUGAGGGAU
rnacentral:rRNA from 1 species